rnacentral:rRNA from 1 species
AGAACGAACGCUGGCGGCAUGCCUAAUACAUGCAAGUCGAACGAACACUUCGGUGUUAGUGGCGCACGGGUGCGUAACGCGUGGGAAUCUGCCCUUGGGUUCGGAAUAACAGUUGGAAACGACUGCUAAUACCGGAUGAUAUCGAAAGAUCAAAGAUUUAUCGCCCAGGGAUGAGCCCGCGUAGGAUUAGCUAGUUGGUGAGGUAAAGGCUCACCAAGGCGACGAUCCUUAGCUGGUCUGAGAGGAUG